UACGUAGGGUGCGAGCGUUGUCCGGAAUUAUUGGGCGUAAAGGGCUCGUAGGCGGUCUGUUGCGUCAGGAGUGAAAACUCGGGGCUUAACCCCGAGCCUGCUUCUGAUACGGGCAGACUAGAGGUAUGCAGGGGAGAACGGAAUUCCUGGUGUAGCGGUGAAAUGCGCAGAUAUCAGGAGGAACACCAACAGCGAAGGCAGAUCUCUGGGACGUAACUGACGCUGAGACGCGAAAGCGUGGGGAGCAAACAGG
rnacentral:rRNA from 1 species